GACGAAUGCUGGCGGCGUGCCUAAUACAUGCAAGUAGAACGCUGAAGGAGGAGCUUGCUUCUCCGGAUGAGUUGCGAACGGGUGAGUAACGCGUAGGUAACCUGCCUGGUAGCGGGGGAUAACUAUUGGAAACGAUAGCUAAUACCGCAUAACAGUAGAUAUUGCAUGAUAUCUGCUUGAAAGUUGCAAUUGCAUCACUACCAGAUGGACCUGCGUUGUAUUAGCUAGUUGGUGAGGUAACGGCUCACCAAGGCGACGAUACAUAGCCGACCUGAGAAGGUGAUCGACCACACUGGGACUGGGACACGGCCCAGACUCCUACGGGAGGCAGCAGUAGGGAAUUUUCGGAAAUGGACGGAAGGCUGACCGAGCAACGCCGCGUGAGUUAAGGAAGUUUUCGGAUCGUAAAGCUCUGUUGUAAGAGAAGAACGAGUGUGAGGGUGGAAAGUUCACACUGUGACGGUAUCUUACCAGAAAGGGACGGCUAACUACGUG
rnacentral:rRNA from 1 species